GAUGAACGCUAGCGGGAGGCUUAACACAUGCAAGUCGAGGGGCAGCAUAGGGUAGCAAUACUCUGAUGGCGACCGGCAAACGGGUGAGUAACGCGUAUGCAACCUACCCUGUACAGGGGGAUAACCCGGAGAAAUUCGGACUAAUAUCCCGUAAUAAUAUCCGGAGGCAUCUUUGGAUAUUAAAGUUCCGACGGUACGGGAUGGGCAUGCGUAACAUUAGCUGGUUGGUAAGGUAACGGCUUACCAAGGCUAUGAUGUUUAGGGGCCCUGAGAGGGUGGUCCCCCACACUGGUACUGAGACACGGACCAGACUCCUACGGGAGGCAGCAGUGAGGAAUAUUGGUCAAUGGGCGCAAGCCUGAACCAGCCAUCCCGCGUGCAGGAAGACGGCCCUAUGGGUUGUAAACUGCUUUUCCAGGGAGAGAAACUUACGCACGUGUUGCGUGACUGACGGUACCCUGGGAAUAAGCAUCGGCUAACUCCGUG
rnacentral:rRNA from 1 species